CUCUCUGUCUGGUUGCAGGUCUACUCUAUUCUCCUGGUCCAGCUCCUUGUCACUGUCUCCAUCGUGGCUCUGUUCACAUUCUGCGAUCCAAUAAGAAUUUACGUUCAGAGCAACCCUGGAUGGUACUGGGCAUCUUACGCUGUAUUCUUCGUUACUUAUCUGAUCCUAGCAUGCUGCUCUGCACCAAGGUAAGUUAAUAAUAAUAAUAAUAAAUAAUAAUAAUAAUAAUAGUAUUAAUGUGUUUAUU